rnacentral:tRNA from 1 species
UGGACCUGGCAGUUCGUGCAGGCGCAGUACACCGCCGAUCUGAACGGCUGGACGCGGUUCGUGUCCAUGCAGGACCAG